rnacentral:rRNA from 1 species
AACGAACGCUGGCGGCAGGCCUAAAACAUGCAAGGCGAACGAUCUAGCAAUAGAUAGUGGCGCACGGGUGAGUAACACGUGGGAAUAUCCCUUUCACUACGGAACAACGUCGGGAAACUGACGCUAAUACCGUAUAAUGUCUCCGGACCAAAGAUUUAUCGAUGAAAGAUUAGCCCGCGUCUGAUUAGCUAGUUGGUGAGGUAACGGCUCACCAAGGCAACGAUCAGUAGCUGGUCUGAGAGGAUGAUCAGCCACACUGGAACUGAGACACGGUCCAGACUCCUACGGGAGGCAGCAGUUAGGAAUAUUGGACAAUGGGGGCAACCCUGAUCCAGCCAUGCCGCGUGUGUGACGAAGGCCUUAGGGUUGUAAAGCACUUUCGUCUACGAAGAUAAUGACAGUAGUAGAAGAAGAAGCUCCGGUUAAAUUCGUGCCAGCCGCCGCCGUAA